GACGAACGCUGGCGGCGUGCUUAACACAUGCAAGUCGAGCGGAAAGGCCCUUCGGGGUACUCGAGCGGCGAACGGGUGAGUAACACGUGAGUAACCUGCCCCAGACUUUGGGAUAACCCUCGGAAACAGGGGCUAAUACCGGAUACGACACAGCUUCGCAUGGGGUCUGUGUGGAAAGUUUUUCGGUUUGGGAUGGGCUCGCGGCCUAUCAGCUUGUUGGUGGGGUGAUGGCCUACCAAGGCGACGACGGGUAGCCGGCCUGAGAGGGCGACCGGCCACACUGGGACUGAGACACGGCCCAGACUCCUACGGGAGGCAGCAGUGGGGAAUAUUGCACAAUGGGCGGAAGCCUGAUGCAGCGACGCCGCGUGAGGGAUGACGGCCUUCGGGUUGUAAACCUCUUUCAGCAGGGACGAAGCGUAAGUGACGGUACCUGCAGAAGAAGCGCCGGCCAACUACGUG
rnacentral:rRNA from 1 species